GAUGAACGCUGGCGGCGUGCCUAAUACAUGCAAGUCGAGCGAACAGACGAUGAGCUUGCGCCUCUCACGUUAGCGGCGGGCGGGUGAGUAACGCGUGGAUAACCUACCUAUAUGUCGGGGAUAAUUUCGGGACACCGGAUCUUAUCCCAUAUAACAUGUUGAACCGCAUGGUUCAACAGAGAGAUACGGUGUUUGUGGCUGUUAUAGCUGGAUCCGGGCCGUAUGAGCUAGUUGUGACGGUAACCGCCUAUCAGGGGGACGAUGCGUAGCCGACCGAACAGGCGGGUAGCCGACAUGGGAAGGGAAACGGGGACAAGACGCCUACGAGAGGCAGCAGACGGGAACCGUCGGCAAUGGGGGAAAGCCUGACAGAGCAAGGCCGCGUGAGUGACGAAGGUCUUCGGAUCGUAAAGCCCUGUUAUUAGGGAAGAACAAAUGUGGAAGUAAACAUGGCCGUAGUGACGGUACCGAAUAAGAAAGCACCGGCUAACUACGUG
rnacentral:rRNA from 1 species